UCAUUGGGCAGGGCCACGCCUCGUGCGUUUAUUGGGGGAGCCCGGGCCUAGCCGAGCAGGUCCCGGUCUUAAAGGAGCCUCCGCCUGUUCUUUGCUCACGCGGGCUGCAAGAAAAGGGUGGCGGCCAGCGACCGCAGCUCUGUAGGUGCCGGCUGCAGCCGUGCUGAAACUUUCAAGGGGGACGUUUACGGACGGCAGAAGGUUAGCUCUUUGAAGGCAGGAACCUUUGUUCACUACCAGCACACCAGUACCUGCAACAGUGAGAGGGGACACAUACUAGGUGCUCAAUAAAUCUUGGUUGAAAAACUGUCAGUCUGUAGGUGGCAGACUGACAAGAAACAACUACACGUUCUGUCUUGACUGUGCACCAGCUGUGUGACUUUAGGCAAGUCGCUUGACCUCU